UACGUAGGGUGCAAGCGUUGUCCGGAAUUAUUGGGCGUAAAGAGCUCGUAGGCGGUUUGUCGCGUCUGCUGUGAAAACUCGGGGCUUAACCCCGAGCCUGCAGUGGAUACGGGCAGACUAGAGGUAGGUAGGGGAGAAUGGAAUUCCCGGUGUAGCGGUGAAAUGCGCAGAUAUCGGGAGGAACACCGGUGGCGAAGGCGAUUCUCUGGGCCUUACCUGACGCUGAGGAGCGAAAGCGUGGGGAGCGAACAGG
rnacentral:rRNA from 1 species